UAAACACUAUCCCCUAAAUCCUAUUUUCCAAACUCAACCUUUAGAAAAAGAACUUAAAACUUUACACUAUUUUUAGAAAACUGCAUAAAUGACAACUAUUUUUAUUUUCAAACCUUAGCCUCACACUUGAAGCUUUUUUUUUUUUUUUUUGAAACGCCAGCCUCACACUUGAAGCUAAACCACAUAUUUUAUACCAAAACAUAAAUUAUAAAGUUUAACUUUAAAACUUUAAACUACUUUUAAUUAACAAAACUAAUUAUAAAUCUAACAUAUAAUCAAAACACAACUAUCUACGAGACUACGACUACCAUUAACUAAAAUAUUAAAAACUCUUAAUAAUUAAAAUUCUCAUUGGUUAAAGCCUGGAUAAUCUUUGACCAUUGAUUAAACUAGAAGCAAUGGCCCAGAUUCUCUUUCUCUGUGAUCCUAGUCUCUCCUUCUCGUUGGUCGAUAAUUAAACACAAGGAUUGCAAUUUAUGGUCAUUGAUUAGUUUUGAAUCAAUGGUCCAGAUUUCUUUUAAUUUUCUUCUCCUUCUUCUUUCACGUCUCCUCUCCUCUCCUCCUUAACACUUUCUCUACUCAUCUGCAAUUCCUUCUUCGUUCUUUUCCUUAACAUCUCCUAUGUGUAGAUUUGUGUCAAAGAAACAAAGACGAAGACUUGCGUGAGUGAGCAGUGGCGGUGGUGGUGUUCAAGCUCACACUCACUCAGAUUGCGUGAGCCGUGGUGGUGGUGGUGGUCAAGCCGGAGAAAGAUGACGACAAGAGGGAGAGAUGCGACGUUGACGACUCUGGUGGCUCCAGAUCUCUGAUUUGUAAGAAGAGGAAGCUCCGCAACUCGCUUGCAACUUCCGGCGGAGGUGACCUGCAACUACAGAUGGUCGGAUGUGGCCUGCAACUUCCGGCGGCAGAAGAUGUUUUGUUAAUUAGAAGUUUUUGCUGUUUAGGUUUUUAGGUUUAUGUUUAAUAAGUAUGCUUUAUCCCUUAUAUACUAAAGCACAAGUUACUUUACCAAUUAGAUUUUGACACAUGGAAUAUGCUAUACAAAUUAAAGAAAAAGUAAAAUUGCAAAAACAUUCAAAUGCAAUAAACUGUUUCGUGUUUUCUACUUUUCAUUAUAAUAAAAAUUCAUAAUAUUCCUUAUAAUGUGGC
rnacentral:lncRNA from 1 species